CACGUAGGGGACGAGCGUUGUCCGGAUUCAUUGGGCGUAAAGCGUGCGUAGGCGGCUCGGAAAGUCGGUCGUGAAAUGCCGGGGCUCAACCCCGGGACUGCGUCCGAUACUUCCGGGCUGGAGGUAGGUAGGGGAGAUCGGAAUUCCUGGUGUAGCGGUGAAAUGCGCAGAUAUCAGGAGGAACACCGGUGGCGAAGGCGGAUCUCUGGGCCUUACCUGACGCUGAGGCGCGAAAGCUAGGGGAGCGAACAGG
rnacentral:rRNA from 1 species